AAAUGUCGUCGAUCAAAACUCAUCAAAACACACACAAGAAUAAAAGAACCGUUCUGGGAGAAGAAACAACCGGUCUGCUCGUCACCAACACCGUUCACCCGCAACUGCUAUAAAAAGUACGUUCUGGGAGAUAAAAGAACCGUUUGUCACCUCUGUCGGCAUCAAUUGGUCAUCUUAGAUUUUCUUCUCAAGCGAAAGCGACAAGGCUUUGACAUAUAUGGUUGAAAUGGAACCUCAAAAAUCAUACAUGGCAACACUCAACUGGUAUAGAAUCCAGUCCAAAAUGAACUAAUUGCUCUUUUUUUAACCAUUCAUGAAUUCAUCCACUUAUUUCUUAUUUCUUUUUUUUUUUGUCUGUUCUUUUUUUUUUUUCCUCGGAGUAUUUAUGUUUGGUAAGUUCUUCAUUAGUGUUACUUUUUGCUCAUGUGACACCUAUUAUUUGCAGUUGGAGUUUCAAUUGAAAACAUCUUGUAUCUUUGUGUACUUAAUAUUGCACAUAUUUACAAUCGAGAAUACGCGAAUGCUUUGAUAUGUGGACCUGAGAAAUGGUGGAAAGCACUUGGAAGAUUUUUGAGGCAGCCAAAUUUAAUUAUAUGGGACAAUGGUGACCUGGUAACUCAUGAGUCAUGGGUGGUCUCAAGAAUGUAUAUGCCAUUGGAGCUGGGAAGGAUUUAGCUCCAUAUUUGAAAACAUUGUACGUCAAGUAAGCUGUAAUUCUGAAAACAGUAGGAACAGUGAUUCCAGAAAUAAUCAGACUCAUGCACAUCCUUCAAGGGAAGUCCAGAAUGAAAAUGGUGAACAAAUGCAGUCUAGGGAGCUGGAGAGCAAUGUUCAUCAGUUGACUAAUUGCUGUAAGAAUUCUAGCCAGAGUACGAAUAAACAACCGUCUCUAACCAAGGAAGGGAUCGAGUGGAAGUUGAGGGUUAGUUCUAAUAAAAAGCAGGUUAGUAUAUGCAGAAAAAAAAGUUUUGACGUCGCUUAUCUUCUAUGUCAUAAUCUUCAUUGGACAUAGAUGGCUUACCAGAUGAUCCGUCGUAUCCUAAAUAAUCAUAUCACGUGAUAUUGAUAUGAAGGCAAAUUCUGAGCUGAAUAAAGAGGUAUAUGAGCUGACCCAAAUCCGUAGCACUAUAUGAGAGUAGACAAGCGUGAAUAUCCCUAAUAGGGGCCUCCAAUAGGUGCCCAGUGAAAGUCAUAGACUUCCCCAACGACAUCCUUUUUAAAAGAAGAAGGGCAAAGCAUGGAAGAUGAAGUGACUGGAUGUAGCUUGUUUGUCACUUGCUGCUAAAACGGAAGAAAUUGAAGUUAGUGGAACAAUCAUGUCCAGUAUGCUUGUUCUUGUUAGGGGAUUGUUUGAAGUUUACAUUUGUACAUGCUACAAUAGAGUUAGGAACUGACA